UUCCGGUUGAUCCCGCCAGAGGUUACUGCUAUCGAGGUUCGACUAAGCCAUGCGAGUCGAAUGUAGCAAUACAUGGCGUACUGCUCAGUAACACGUGGACAACCUGCCCUUGAGACGGGGAUAAACCCGGGAAACUGGGUAUAAUACCCGAUAGAUCUCGAUUGCUGGAAUGCAUCGAGCUUGAAAGCUCCGGCGCUCAAGGAUGGGUCUGCGGCCUAUCAGGUAGUAGUGGGUGUAGCGUACCUACUAGCCUACGACGGGUACGGGUUGUGAGAGCAAGAGCCCGGAGAUGGAUUCUGAGACACGAAUCCAGGCCCUACGGGGUGCAGCAGGCGCGAAAACUUUACAAUGCUGGAAACAGCGAUAAGGGGACCUCGAGUGCCAGGUUACAAAUCUGGCUGUCGUGAUGCCUAAAAAGCAUUGCAUAGCAAGGGCCGGGCAAGACCGGUGCCAGCCGCAGCGGUAACACCGGCGGCUCGAGUGGUAACCGUUAUUAUUGGGUCUAAAGGGUCUGUAGCCGGCCGGAUAAGUCUCUUGGGAAAUCUGGCAGCUUAACUGUCAGGCUUUCAGGAGAUACUGUCUGGCUCGAGGCCGGGAGAGGUGAGAGGUACUUCAGGGGUAGGGGUGAAAUCUUGUAAUCCUUGAAGGACCACCAGUGGCGAAGGCGUCUCACCAGAACGGACCUGACGGCAAGGGACGAAAGCUAGGGGCACGAACCGGAUUAGAUACCCGGGUAGUCCUAGCCGUAAACGAUACUCGCUAGGUGUCGGCAACGGUGCGACCGUUGUCGGUGCCGUAGGGAAGCCGUGGAAGCGAGCCACCUGGGAAGUACGGCCGCAAGGCUGAAACUUAAAGGAAUUGGCGGGGGAGCAC
rnacentral:rRNA from 1 species